rnacentral:sRNA from 1 species
AGGAGCAUUGUCCCUGGACUGAUAAUCCAGUGCAGUGCAGGAAUGGCUGCAGCCCAUCUGCAGAAUGGCAGAGGAAAAAAGGAGGUGGCUACAGAUCUCUGGUGCAUGAAAUGUUCAAAAAGGGGCAUAAAACCCGGGCCGUCAGAAUGAAAGCCUGAAAGGUCUCUGCGGCUUAUUUUCCUGUCCCACUUUUCUGAAGUCCUACCCCUCUCUACGUGGAGCCACAACCACAGAGACAUCCGGAUCCAUCAGUAAGACUGAUGCUUGUCAAGGAUGCCCGCAGUCAGCCCAAAUGGGAGAUGGCCUAAUCCUCUAAUUAUAGAUGACUCCAGUAGCAACGGGUGCUCCGAGCCCCCAGCCAGGAUCACAAGAGACACAAUCCUGGCUCCUUCAGUUCUGUGCUGCCGUGGGAGUUGGGUCAGAACAUUUAUUGGAGACCUCAGGGGUGUACUAGUGCCCUGCCUCGUGUGGACUGCUGACCCUUGGAGGGCAGGGAUAAAGGAGAACGUGGGAGGACUGAGGACAGGUGAGUGAGUCUGAAGACACUGACUUAUGGCUCCCAAGAGCCUUCUAGUCCUGCUGAACUUCUUAGCACACAAUUUCAAACUUGUUCUGAGUGACUUAACCUUGCUUAUCCAUUGUCAUGGUGGAAACCUGUGUAGCCUCCAAAAGCCUGGUGGCAGGGCUUUGGCAGGAGAUGCCAAGUGUUCUAAUCACCAGUGCGAAUUGAAUGAAACAUGGGGACUGAAUGGUUGAAUGGUUAUCCCCUCGGAAUUUAACAGAAAUACCUUUCUGCCUUUAUAAAUGUAGGUGCGUCCUAGGUUCAUGUUUUUGCCUGAUUCUUGAAAGGUGCCUGCUGACUACUGGAACAGGCCUGACUGGGCUGUGUGUGCGUUUUCUUUUAACAGAAUAACUGGUUCUCCGUUGAGAGUUCAUCUUUGUCUAGCUCAGGGAGAGUGGAGUUCUAGGUUCAGAGGUGAGAGAGAAAUCUGGAGAUCUUUUGGGUAUCUGUUUUAGCAUCUGAUGUGAGAGGUCUGGUCAGGAUCCAGAAGAUAGGCUUGUUCUAGGGAGCCCAGGGUAAUGUCUUACAACAGUCCUGAAGGGACUUAUGUCUGCCUGAAUGGAACUGAGGUGAUGGAAGUUGAGAAGGCUUGAGAAAUUUCUACAGAUGGUUAUGGGGAACUUGGAGAAUUGAAGAAAACCAGUGGUUUAGAGUAAGGCCAUUUGCCAGAGGCGAAGGACAUCUGUGGAGAACAUGAGAAUUCCCUUAGAGAUCUCUGAAAGUAGAGGGGUUGGGUAGCCUUGUCACAACUUGCAGAUGGGUACUCAGAAUGCUUGCCAUAUGAAGGUAGCGAGACCUGACACUUUUGCCUCGAAAGCUGGUGACAAAAUGUUUAUGCCACCAGUAGCUGUGGUCUCCCUCUGCCUUACACUUCCAUAGGUAGCCCAUUUUCAAGACACAAAUAGAUGUCCAGAGAAGUACAUGGGUUUUCUUUCUCUUUCAUAGAACUUGGCCUUUGCUGUCCUGCCAGGCACUUAAGACAUUUCCCAUAGGGGAUGAGAACUUAGCUUCUCUAGGUGUCCCUUUCAGAUUUUCUUCUUGGGGUCCUGGAAGAGAAUGAGAGAGCCCUGUGUACCUCAGACCACAGAGGGUAAGGACUUUCUUUCCCAGGGCAGUGGGAUGACACUAGAGAAUGGGCUAGCAUGGGCUAGCCAUGGCUAUUUUAGGACAGUCAAGACUGCUUAUUAGCUUGGCCCUAUUUCUCUGGAUGAAGAAGUUGAGAAUUUGCCCUUUCUGUUCUAUGGGAACAACUGAAACACCCUGAACUUUGGAAACACUGACCUCCUCAGGUGAUUCUGGGUGGAUUUAGAGAACUUUUCUCAGCAGGACUUGAAACUUACUCUCCUUCAGAGUACUGUUGAGUCCUGGCAAAGUAGGUGGCCUGGUGGGCACAAAAACAGAGGGUCCCGAGUGCUCGUGAAACUGGAAAUGGAAUCUAGGGGAACACACCAUAUUAUGGGAGUCAGUCGAUAGACAAGACUUAACUCCAUUACUUUUCCCAAAAUGUACCAUACCGAAUGUGAAAUGACCAUGACGAUGUGGACUAUCUUCAUGAAAGUUUGUCUCCUCUUUCUGGGGCAUACUUCUGUGUGAGUCUCACUCCAAAGAGCUUUCAUUAUAACCGAUAAUGGAGAGGCGCUUUGACACCAGGAUGAGGUAUUUCUGUAUCUGAACAGCUUCCUUAAUCUUUUCAUUCUUGUAGGUAGGAUGUGAGAAUCAUCCUAGCAGGAUGUUAUAAAGCACUGAGGAUAUGUUAGCUUAACUAACUUCUCUCAUGAAUAAAAUCAGCUAAGGAAUGCUUAACCGACUUAGUUUCCACAAGCCACGCACUUCACUCUGUCUGAAGACCUGUGGGUAAAUUCAUAGCCUUAAAAAGUGUGUGACGCUUGGCGUUUUGUAGUCAGGCAGGGGCCAAUGGCAUGGAAAACUGGAAGUAGCUUGUGUGGUGUUGUUGUUGCCUGACAUGGCUGUGGUGGCUGCUUGGACUGCACAGAGUCACACACCCGUCAGUGAUGGGGACAGAGCUCCAGCCUGACCUCCUGACUCAGGCUGUGACUCACACACAUGCCGUUUUGUACACUACCAGACAAGCUCCCAACUCGAGCAUUCAGGAUGUUGCUGUAGAGUGAGAUGUAGGAGGCCACACUUGCACUCAGAUGUUUAAUUCCUAAGAGACGAUGUGUGAGAGAAGCACCGGACGCCAGGCUUCGAAUGCUACCUCAUGACUGAGAAGCAUCAUUCUGGCACACCGUACUCCCCUUGGUUGUCCCACUGAGAGUUAAUGAGGCACACGUGGCUUUGGUACUCAGAAAACCUUGACACACACUGAAUAUUUUUUUUCCCUGUUUCUCUUCUUUCUAGGCCUUUGUGGCAAACAGUAGAUGUUUAAAAACAAGCUAAUGGUACAUGCUGUGUUAGCUUCUUAUGGAAAGUUAUGGAAGGGAAUGAGAGAGAAGCUCUCACACAUAACUCACUCUAGAGAGCCCCAGUCACCCCCAGGAAAUGCAAACCCUGCUUCCUGGGCUCCCCUCUUAACGCCAGGUCAUCCCAAGGGACACCUGUUUUCCUCAAACCCACUUCCCUGACAGGUUGAUGCUGGCUGAACAUUUUGCAAGACCUGGGCUAGGUCUUGUUAAUUUCAUAUUAUCCCUGCCACCUACCCCGAGUUUCAUCAUGUUUAUUUAGUGAAUACACAGUAAAAAGUCUUAAAAAUGCCCCUGAUUAAUAUAUUUUGGCAGCGAGAAAGGAGACAAAUUAACCAAGCUUUUCCAAUCUCAUCCAAAGUUAACUCGCAAACUCCAUUUUAAGGAAGGGCUUCCUGUGAAGGCUGCCUUGGAAAGCAUUGUGGGCCAAUUCCCCAACCUGUAAUAAACUAUAUGUAUAAAGAUAGCAGUGUUGUUAUACAAUUUAAUUAGUGCAUCACUCAGACAUUUGGACCAAUGCCUGGCUCUUUUCCUGCACGUUCAUUCAGCUUUUAGUCUAACUCCCGCGUGAAAUAAACAAAAAGGCUAAUUGCUUUUGGAUUUUAGCACCGGGUGAAAUACCUGGAUUCAUUAUGUGAAUCAUAUUUUAUAGGUAGAUUAAAGGUUCUAUUGGCAAAUGAAAAAUUCUACGAUGACAGCUGUAACGUUCAAAGGCAAGGCAAUGGAAAGGCCCGUGCUCCCACAGGCAGCAUAUGGACCCAUCUGACAUGCUCCUGGUUCUCAUAGCAGGGUAAAUGUUUGCACACUGAUGAGGACAUUGCUCCUGGCUGGGAAGAAUUUGUGUCAUGGCUCUGAAGCAAUGAUGGGCUGGUAAAGGUUUAAGGAUUUGUGUCCAUCAGGAAAACAAAACAAAAAACAAACCAAACCAAAAACCAAAACAAACCCCCUUUUGUUUGUAAGUUCAGACCGCAGCUGAUCUUAAGGAGUGGGGACCUGACUCUCCCCAGUCCUCUAGCCAGUGCUUCCUGGGGCAUGAGGUGGAGGGAAGGCCUGGUUUCAGAGGCCAGAGCUUGCUUUUAAUAAUCUCUCCAAAAUACAGAUGUUGGUGUGGGGAGUUCUGGAGCGGACCCCUUGUGAGCAUGUUAGGACCCAGCAAACCGGAAUGCCUUCUCAGCUUCCUGAAGAACAAGGCAGGUGGAUGAAGAGGGGUUGCCCCUGACAGCCCUGCUCCUGACCUUGCUCAAGGAAGACCUUCAAUACCCACCUCCAUCUGACUGAGUUCUGUUAAGGAAGAUAACACUCACAUCUUUGGCUCUCUUCACGAGUGGAGUAAGCCUUCCAUUCUUCAAAGGGAGAACUCCCAGAAGCCAGCAGUGCCCUUGACAAAACCAGCUCAAACUCAAGCUGACAAGCACUUGACUGGGACCAUCACAUCAUUCUUCAGUGACAGGGUCCUGAGCAAGAGGGGCCGGGGAUCAGAGGUAAAGAAGAUAAAACAGAGUAAUGCAUUUGAUUUUGAUGAGGCCCAAUGAAAUACACAGGAGCAAACAAGGUCUUUGGGAAAACGAACUCAGAAUAGCUACUUCCAGCUCGUAUCCAAAGGGGAUAGAAUCAAGAAGAAAAGAGUCCGUGGCAUGCUCAGAAAUUUACUGGAAAGAGUCAAGCUGAGAAAACCAUUCAACUGCAAAGACACACUACCUUACCUGGGUGAGGAAGGAUAACUUGGAGAGGAACUGAGAUCCCAAAUUACAGAGCCAGGAACCAUGGAGGAUCCAAGGGACUUCCAACGUUCAGAAGAUGGCUUUCUCAAAUCAAGAAGACCCUCACCAGAACCUGCUGGUAGCCAAUGAGAGUUUCUAGGCUCUGAAACUGUAUUGUUGUGCUCGGAAUGCUGCAGCCUCCAUCUUGAGACUCCACCCAACACCAAUACAGGCAAGAGGAGCAGAGGGUGUCCAACUCCUACACAUGGGCCGCUAAACUUCCCCCAGCCAACCAAAAAGCUGGUUUUUAGUUAAAAAUACUGUCUGCUGAUAAAAGAAAUAAGGAUGAGUGUAUCAUUCAACCCUCAUUGGAGAAGCUUCCUCCUGCAGUAGAUGGGAAUUAGCAGAGACCAACAACUGGACAUAAGUAAUGAGUGAGAGACUUGGAGGCCCUCAGUCCCACAUGGGAGGUCUUCGUCAAAUUCCUUCCCUGAAGGCUUAGGGAGCUAUGUAGAUGAGGAGACAGAAAGAUCGUAAGAGCCAGAGAUGGCGGGUGAUUCCAAGGAACAAUGUCUUCCAGACACAACAGGACUGAUCUACAUGUAAGUUCACAGAGACUGUGAAGCCCACAAAACCUGCACAAGUUCAAACAAGACAAAAUCCCAGCACCGAGAAGGGGAAAUGGACCCAGGUAGAGUCCUAGCCCUAACUAAAGAGCUAUUUGCAAGUGAUGUUUACUGGGAAAGGGAAAAUCCAUUUUCUCUCGUGGAGUGUCACUGGGCAUAUCAGUCA